rnacentral:lncRNA from 1 species
UUUCUGCAUUUCGCCCUCAUCGAAAUGCUGCCGCCAUGGCCGGGAUUAAAGAGAGAAAGAGUGUGUGUGUGCGCAUGCGUGUGUGAAAACUUUAUUCAAAGAGGCCUGGAGGCUCGACUUAAGCCGAGGCGGGCUGCUCCCAGUGUGCCACAAAGAAAUUUGUUGUCACUACGGUCUUUCUACGACAAUUAUUUCAUGUACUUUCCGACGGCUGGAAAUAAUAUAGUGCUACACGUAGAAACUUCAAAUAAAUGAAAGAAAGGCUUCCUAUAGCUAUAGCGUUCGUUGAAGACAGAAGUGGAAGACUGUUAUAAAUUUUUCGAAGGAGCUUUAAACAUGCCGUUUGUGUUAACUGGUCUAAGAACCUGUACCAUACAUUACAUACAGCCCUUUCUUCCUCACUCCAAAGUACAGCAUAUACUCAUGAGUAGCAGGGGAAGGUUAGCAAGCAUGUCUCACCAACUGCAUCUAGUGUUGCUAAACCUAUGCAUCAUGCUAGCCAACUAGAACAGGAGAGAAUCACAAGAACAGCUCCUCUAUUGUCCACCUCCAAUCACCCCCUGCACCCAGAAAAUGGUCAGCCCAUCGCAGUACACACAAUGCUGCACUAAACAGAAUUUGCGACACACUAUAGGUUACAUAUCACAGUGAAUAGGAACCAGAGCUGUGUCAGCCUCCGAAAAGCCAAGGAGGGCAUUGUCCGCCAGUUAUUCUUCACGACCCUGCCAUUCAACCUGUGAUGCGAAGGAGCGGUGUGGGGAGAGGUAGCACGAAGGUGGCUCUCGGGGAAUUAAUUUCUUGAACCACAAACAAGUGUAAGCACCUAGCGAUUGAACUACGGCAUUGCUCAAUAUGGCUACCACGCGACCAUCACCUUAAAAUAAAACUUAUGUACUGUUCCCCAAAAACAUUUUAGUAAGAGAAGCAUACAGCCACGACAAAGAAAGACAUCAUGGUCCAAUGGACUUAUUUUCUCCUAUCCUCGCCCUUUCAUCCAGUUUAUUACGAUUCACACACACACACAAAAAAAAGACUUGUUCAUUCCACGAUUCCCUUACAAAGAGGAGGGGAGACCAAAGGUAAGAAAGGAGCACAAGCUUCCAGUGCACUUGCCAAAAUUCAUAUUCUUUAAUCACUUUCACCUAGCAACAUUCUACAGAGACACUGCUCACCUCAUUCAUUGCAUGGGCUUCAUUCAUUGAACAAAAUCUCUCUGCACGUGCCGCUUAUUAGCAAAGGUUUGUCAGCAGCACAGACACUUCAGUUCUUUGCACUUUUGUACUGCAUUACACAGCUUCUGACGGCCUUCUCGAGGCCCCAAUGUGCUCUGGAGGGCAGCUGUUCACUUUUCAGAACCAAAGAAAAGCUAUAUAUUAUGUUUCCAGCAAGAACUGGUUUAAGUCAUUCAAAAUCAGAGGCUAUUUCUGCCCAGCAUUAUUACAUUGUAAAGCACAAGAAAGUAAAUGCUAUUACAAUCAAGUGCCCACAGAGAAGCAAUGGAAACUUUGCAGUAACAAAUUAAACGAAAUCAAAUGUCUGUGCAGCACAAUCUGAGCAAAUGUUAAUGCUACAGACAUUACACGACAAGCCUUUCUGAACGAGAGGAAAUAGUAGCAGCCGGUAUAGAGUAUCAAUCCCAUUUCUUGCAUUCUACAAAUUGGAAGGAGAGAGAAUUGAUGCUUAAAAUGUUAGCAAGAAACAAGACUUUAGCUGCAACAAAGAGGUUUAGAAACAAUGCCAGCUUUACUCACUGGACAGUUCAACAUUUCAUCUUAACUACAGAAAAAAGACCUGUCAGAA